AGACCUCAUCCUCCUACAACAGCCAAGCCUGUAAACAGAGUAUGCAGUCUACCACAUCACAGAGCAGCAGUUCUUAUGGAUCACAGGGGGGAUCCUCCCCUUCAUUUGGUGGCAGUGGAUCCUCAAAUUAUGGCGGCAGUACUGGUUCCUCAAAUUUUGGUGGCAGUAGUGGAUCUUCAAAUUAUGGUGGCGGCAGGCCUUGCAGCCAGGGGUAUACAUAUGAUGGCAACUCUUGCAAACAGG